CGAACGCUGGCGGCGUGCUUAACACAUGCAAGUCGAGCGAUGAAGUUUCUUCGGAAAUGGAUUAGCGGCGAACGGGUGAGGAACACGUGAAGAAUCUGCCCUCCACUUUGGGAUAACACCGGGAAACCGGUGCUAAUACCGAAUAUUGAAACAUAAGUGGCAUACACUGAGUUUUGAAAGAAUUUCGGUGGAGGAUGACUUCGCGGCCUAUCAGCUAGUUGGUGAGGUAAUGGCUCACCAAGGCAACGACGGGUAGCCGGCCUGAGAGGGCGACCGGCCACACUGGGACUGAGACAGGCCCAGACUCCGUACGGGAGGCAGCAGUGGGGAAUAUUCCGCAAUGGGCGAAAGCCUGACGGAGCAACGCCGCGUGAGGGAUGAAGGCCUCUGGGCUGUAAACCUCUUUUACUCAAGGAAGAAGAUCUGACGGUACUUGAGGAAUAAGCCACGGCUAAUUCCGUGCCAGCAGCCACGGUAAUCUGAUG
rnacentral:rRNA from 1 species